rnacentral:rRNA from 1 species
AACUGCGAAUGGCUCAUUAAAUCAGUUAUGAUCUACGUGACAUAUUCUUUACUACUUGGAUAACCGUGGUAAUUCUAGAGCUAAUACAUGCAAAAAAGCCCUGACUUCGGAAGGGGUGCACUUAUUAGAUAAAGCCAACGCUGGGUAAAACCAGUUUCCCUUGGUGAUUCAUAAUAAUUAAGCGGAUCGCAUGGCCUUGUGCUGGCGACGGUCCACUCGAUUUUCUGCCCUAUCAUGGUUGAGAUUGUAAGAUAGAGGCUUACAAUGCCUACAACGGGUAACGGGGAAUUAGGGUUCGAUUCCGGAGAGGGAGCCUGAGAAACGGCUACCACAUCCAAGGAAGGCAGCAGGCGCGCAAAUUACCCAAUACCGACAUGGUGAGGUAGUGACAAUAAAUAACAAUGCAGGGCCUUUAAGGUCUUGCAAUUGGAAUGAGUACAAUUUAAAUCCCUUAACGAGGAUCAAUUGGAGGGCAAGUCUGGUGCCAGCAGCCGCGGUAAUUCCAGCUCCAAUAGCGUAUAUUAAAGUUGUUGCAGUUAAAACGUCCGUAGUCAAACUUUAGCCUUUAGGCGAGGUGGCCUGGUCUUCAUUGAUCAAGCUCGCUUCUGCCGAGGCUUUUGUAUUUGGUUAUGCUAUGGGUGGCUUCGGUCGCCUAUAGUCUCUAGCCAAAUGAUUACCAUGAGCAAAUCAGAGUGUUUAAAGCAGGCUUUCAAGCUUGAAUGUGUUAGCAUGGAAUAAUGAAAUAUGACUCUAGUCCCUAUUUCGUUGGUUCAGGAACUUGAGUAAUGAUGAAUAGAAACGGUUGGGGGCAUUUGUAUUUGGUCGCUAGAGGUGAAAUUCUUGGAUUGACCGAAGACAAACUACUGCGAAAGCAUUUGACCCAGGACGUUUUCAUUGAUCAAGGUCUAAAGUUAAGGGAUCGAAGACGAUUAGAUACCGUCGUAGUCUUAACCACAAACUAUGCCGACUAGAGAUUGGGCCUGUUUAUUAUGACUGGCUCAGCAUCUUAGCGAA